GACGAACGCUGGCGGCGUGCUUAACACAUGCAAGUCGAACGGAAAGGCCCUGCUUUUGUGGGGUGCUCGAGUGGCGAACGGGUGAGUAACACGUGAGUAACCUGCCCUUGACUUUGGGAUAACUUCAGGAAACUGGGGCUAAUACCGGAUAGGAGCUCCUGCUGCAUGGCGGGGGUUGGAAAGUUUCGGCGGUUGGGGAUGGACUCGCGGCUUAUCAGCUUGUUGGUGGGGUAGUGGCUUACCAAGGCUUUGACGGGUAGCCGGCCUGAGAGGGUGACCGGCCACAUUGGGACUGAGAUACGGCCCAGACUCCUACGGGAGGCAACAGUGGGGAAUAUUGCACAAUGGGCGGAAGCCUGAUGCAGCAACGCCGCGUGCGGGAUGACGGCCUUCGGGUUGUAAACCGCUUUCGCCUGUGACGAAGCGUGAGUGACGGUAAUGGGUAAAGAAGCACCGGCUAACUACGU
rnacentral:rRNA from 1 species